UACGUAGGGGGCAAGCGUUGUCCGGAUUUAUUGGGCGUAAAGAGCGUGUAGGCGGCCAGGUAGGUCCGUUGUGAAAACUCGAGGCUCAACCUCGAGACGCCGAUGGAAACCAUCUGGCUAGAGUCCGGAAAGAGGAGAGUGGAAUUCCCGGUGUAGCGGUGAAAUGCGCAGAUAUCGGGAAGAACACCCGUGGCUAAGGCGGCUCUCUAGUACGGUACUGACGCUGAGACGCGAAAGCGUGGGGAGCGAACAGG
rnacentral:rRNA from 1 species